rnacentral:rRNA from 1 species
UACAGAGGGGGCAAGCGUUGUUCGGAAUUACUGGGCGUAAAGCGUGCGUAGGCGGUUUGUUAAGUCCGUUGUGAAAGCCCUGGGCUCAACCUGGGAAUUGCAGUGGAUACUGGCGAGCUAGAGUGCGGUAGAGGAUGGUGGAAUUCCCGGUGUAGCGGUGAAAUGCGUAGAGAUCGGGAGGAACACCCGUGGCGAAGGCGGCCAUCUGGACCAGCACUGACGCUGAGGCACGAAAGCGUGGGGAGCAAACAGG